ACGGAGAGUUUGAUCCUGGCUCAGGGUUAACGCUGGCGGUGCGCAUAACACAUGCAAGUCGAGCGAGGGCUCAUUUCUCGCAAGAGAGAUGGGUUCCUAGCGGCGAACGGGUGAGUAACACGUGGGCAACCUUUCCUAUCGCGGGGGAUAACAGCGGGAAACCGCUGCUAAUACCGCAUGUUGUCAUCGGUCGCAUGGCCGAUGAAGAAAGCAGCAAUGCACGAUGGGGUGGGCCCGCGGCCUAUCAGCUAGUCGGUGGGGUAACGGCCUACCGAGGCGAUGACGGGUAGCUGGUCUGAGAGGACGACCAGCCACACGGGGACUGAGACACGGCCCCGACUCCUACGGGAGGCA
rnacentral:rRNA from 1 species